CGCUUGAACCCAGGAGGUGGAGGCUGUAGUGAGCGAGCUAGCCUGGGCAACAGACUAAGAUGAAAAGAAAGAAAAAAAGAAAAGAAAAGAGAAAAGAAAAGAGGGGAGGGGAGGAGGUGGGGGAGGCAGAGAGGGAAGGGAGGGGAGAGGAUGCUCAAAUAAACAGUUGCUUUGCAAUCUCAUGAGAAAAACCAGAUCUGCUUGAAGUGUUAAUUCAGAAGACAGAAUGUGUGACCUCAUGAUUUUUCAUAUGCUUUGCAAUCAUUACUUAUUCAUUCUUCAUUUCUGACAGAUAGGGGGAUAGCUUAUAAAAUGUAUUCCUCAUCCUACUAACAUCGUGCAUCAGCUUGAAACAGGAAACACAAGACAUACAAAUUAUUUAAGGCCUUGCUACUCAGUGUGGUCCAAAGACCAGCCAUACUGGAUCACCUGGGAAUGCCUUGGCAAUGCUGAAUCAGCUCUUCUACCCACUGACUUCACUCCCAGACCUAUGGAAUCAGAAUUUGCAUUUUAAUGAGAACUCCAGUGAUUUCCAUGUACACUAAAAUUUGAGAAGUCCUAAACUGGGCAACAAUGAUUCUGUUGUCCACCUCCUGACCUUCCCCACCUGAUAUGGAUUGGAUGCUUGUCCCCUCCAAAUCACAUGUUGAAAUGUGGCCUCCGGUGUUGGAGGUGGGCCUAGUGGGAGGUGUUUGAGUCAUGGGGGUGGAUGCCUCAUGAAUGACUUGCCGCUGCUGUCCUCACAGUAAUGAGUGAGUUUUCUCUGAGUUCACAAGAGAACUGGUUGUUUAAAACAACCUAGCACCUCCUCCCCCCUCUCUCUUGCUUCCUCUCACGCUUCCAUGUGACAUGCUGGCUCUCCAUCUCCUUCUUCCAUGAUUAUAAGCUUCUUGAGGCCCUCACCAGAGCAAAUGCUGGCAUUAUGCUUCAUGUAUAGCCAGCAGAAC
rnacentral:lncRNA from 1 species